ACGACUAGUAUGCUCAAAGGACACCAUGUGAUAGAUGUGUUGAUAAAACACAGUGUUCGGUACACAUUUUGGCCAUCUUUUUGGAAAUGUUCGUAAAUUUCCCUGCGUACGAGAGCCAACCAACCACUUGUUAAUGGGAACAAGAGCUGUGACGUCACCAAUCAUCAUGGCGGACGGGAAUGGAAAGGAAAAUUCUAGCUGAAGGACUGGAAGGCUGCCAAGCUGGUUUCUGUAAUUUCUGAGGAAGAGUGGAGGUCAAGUGCUGUCCCGUCCCCUGUGUGCUGUAGCUUUGCUGUACCACUGCUGUUCUAUUGCUGUCCCACUGCUGAAAAAUAGCUGUCAAUAUGGACAGUUACAGACCCUCCUACGGUGAGUCGUACGACCGUUUUGUUCCACAAGAGAACACAUCAGGAGUCAGUAAGAUACAGAAGGAAUACUGGCAUACCAAACAGAAACUCAUCAGCUAAUGUUAUAAUAUGUUCCUAGUUACAGACCCUCCUACGGUGAGUCGUACGACCGUUUUGUUCCACAAGAGAACACGUCUGGAGUCAGUAAGAUCCAGAAAGAAUACUGGCAGACCAAACAGAAACUCAG